CCUUUAUUCCUCUUCAAGAUUCACAAUGACAUUCUUCAGCAUUUGAAAUAUUUUACUUAAUGAGGUAGUAGUUACCCAGCAUUAAGUAAAUGUAACCAAAGAUGAUGUUUUUAAUCAGUCCCCUUUCCUUGUGAUUAUAUAAGUGAAAAUUCUGUUUAAAAAAAAAAACCUCAUAUUUACUCUGAAAAAAAUUUGAGAAAUCAUUAUGAAGUCUAUGUUUCAUAAUUAAGGAGAGGUACUAAU
rnacentral:lncRNA from 1 species